AUUGAACGCUGGCGGCAGGCUUAACACAUGCAAGUCGAACGAGUGGCGGACGGGUGAGUAAUGUAUGGGGAUCUGCCCGAUAGAGGGGGAUAACUACUGGAAACGGUAGCUAAUACCGCAUACUAUCGGAUGAACCCAUAUGGGAUUAGCUAGUAGGUGGGGUAACGGCUCCCCUAGGCGACGAUCCCUAGCUGGUCUGAGAGGAUGACCAGCAACACUGGAACUGAGACACGGUCCAGACUCCUACGGGAGGCAGAAGUGGGGAAUAUUGCACAAUGGGCGAAAGCCUGAUGCAGCCAUGCCGCGUGUGUGAAGAAGGCCGUCGGGUUGUAAAGCACUUUCAGCGAGGAGGCGUUACUCGCAGAAGAAGCACCGGCUAACUCCGUGCCAGCAGCAGCGGUAAUUC
rnacentral:rRNA from 1 species